GUCAUAGUGGUGUCAAAAAUCGUGGUGAAAGGACGUGUCGUGCGGUCCAGUGUAAUUUCAACUGCGUAAUUACUUUUAUUAGUGUUAAUUUAUCGUUUAUGAAGUACUACCAGUGUUAUUUGAGUAAUCCACGUCUAUUUAAUGAUUUAUUGGACAUCGCCACAACAAAAUCAAAUAUCAAUUGGCUUUGAAGAUAUUUUGAAACAAUAGAGGCUUACAUUAUAGACGCCAUGUUAAUUAAUAAUGGACUCUUCCAGAUUAACGUUUGAAACUGAUGACAAUUUCACAUACGCAAUACUAAUACAACGCAUAUUAAUAACAAAGCAGAUUCUUCGCAUCGACUGGCAUGACUCGAGGGUUUGGCAACGCGGUCGAAGACAAUCUACCGACGAAAUUUCAACGGCACGGUGCCAGCGAGGCCUUGUUGACGGGGGCCUCUCCACGCUUUUUUUCUCUUCCUCCUCUGGGGUGAGGUAGGGACGAUUUAUUUCGCGUUACGCGGCGACGGAAGCACCGGAAGAGAGAGAGAGUCCAUCGACCCAAGCGGAGAGGAGCCAGGAGUGGUGGGAAGGAAGGUGCAGUAGUGGUAUGCUCGUUGCAGGGAACGAGGAAGAUUUGAUCGAAGAUGUUAGGGGAGGACUCUUCUCGAGUUGCUCGCCACGUUGUGGUAGGUACGCUGUUGGGGAAGGGGGGUUUGUCGAUGUUACACGAGCGUGAUGAUUAAAUUAUCGCGUACGUGUUUGUACGUGCUUCUUAAAACGAGCCGUUUCGAGUCAACGAGCCGGAGAUUCAUGGCCCGGCUGGAUUAAAACACUCGGCCGCGAAUCAAUACCUCGCUUUUAAAUUUCCUCGCUCGAGAACAGAAACCGGAUAACCGGCUCGUACGUAUGAUAAACCUAUACCAUGGAUCCUCUGAAAAAAAUUCCAUCAGGAUUCUUCUUCUGUGAAUCCUUCGAGCACGCUCGCUGUGUGUGACUGACCGACAACAGAUAUUCGAGAAUCGCUCCCCGAUCAUCAUCGAUAUUCCAUCGGACGGAUCCCAUCGACGCGAGCAUUUAACCAAGGAUCGAAUCGUGAGAUAAAAUAACGCGAUUGUAAACGAAAUGCCUCGUCGAACGAUCCUAUAAAGCGUAUAAAGAAAAAAAAGAGGGGAGGGGGAGGGGGUGGCAGCAAAACGGAAUAUCAAAACGGAACAUCAAAACGUAACGAUGCGCUAUUCCACGAUCCACGAGGAUGAGGAUUCAAUGUUCAAUGUAUCGGGAGUUGUAUCGGUUGUAGGGUGAAAUCGUAAACGCGGGGACGACAAGCUCGAUCGGCAAAAAGUUGGCAAUCGAUUAAGUUAAGCGACGGCGGUGGGUUGAAAAAGCGGCAAUUACGGCGCUAGGAUGGGAAAAAACAUCGUGAUCCAGCGGGUAUGCAGGUCGAUAACGAUCUCUGGUUAAAUAAUUUGAACGAAACCCGGCCAAGAUCCUGCUUGCUCUUCGCGUAACGUUAUCUCUCGCGUAACAACGCUUUAUACGGAUUAAUUCGUCGAUAAACGCUCACCCCUUUUUCAACUUUAUUACCAACGUUUCCCUUCCAAUGAUCCUCCUCCGCGUUCCUCUUUCCCUUCCCCCCCUUUUAUUUCAUUACGUGGCACCCCGAUUCCGCUCCUACUCCAUCCCUUUGGUCUCCCUUUGCUUUUGCUCUUUUUCGUUCGAUUCUUUCGUCCUUUGAAUUCUUUCGUCCCUUUCAUUCACCUCCUCUUCAACGGAUUGUGACUAUCCGUUCGAUUCCACCGAUCUUUGACCCUUUGCGUUUUUUCAGUUUCAUUCUCUUGGUCCUCUGUAGAUUCGCUCCUUCAUUUUCUUUUUCGAGCUUCCAAGCUUUUUUUCGUCGAGAUCUUGGAGAUUCGAUACACUUUUCUCCGUUAUAUGCGUUAUCAUCUUUCUUUGUUUACUUCGAAUUCAGCAUUUGUUGAAUUUUUAACAAGAUUCUUCGAGUUCCCUUCAGCCGAUUCUUCCAUAUCGUUCUUUCUCUUCGAUACUUGCUUUAAUCUUCCUCUGGAUUUUCCCCGCUCCCGCCAGUUUCACCCUUUUUAACUAUUUCUCUUGCACUCUUUUCGAGAUUCUUUUCAACUCGCUGUUCUCGCUUUUUUGUUUUAUCCCUUCUUUUUCCUUCCAACCCGUUCUCGUUCUUUAAUUUCUAACUCUUACGCUUGACCAAUUUUCUCUUUUUAUAUCAUUAUCCCUAAUUUUAUUCCACCUUUUUCUCUCUUCACUAUUCCACUUAAGUCUAUCUUUAUUCUUCUUUUUUCGUGUAUAAUCUUUAUUUAUUCUUCUUUCUACCUCAUUCUCGUUUUUCCAAUCUCUACAUUUUCCAAAUUUUCUUUUUUCUCUAUUUUAUAUAACACUCACUUGCACUAUGAAACGUGCAUUUAUCAUUUAUCAUUUAAUUUCCGCAUUGUUUUUAAAUCUUUUUAUAUCUUCGACUGGAUUUCUAAUUCACAAUUUGACAAUGUAAUUAAAAUUACAGAGAACAUUUUAUGUACAUGUGCUAUAUUGUCGGUUUAGGGGAAAUCCAAUCAGGUAAAAUCUUGAUUUGGCAUGCAUUCUUUGUCCAAUCUCAAACCCUCUUCCUUACCAUUCUGGUUCAAGCAUCCUCAGUGAUACGUCUAUCGCAGCAGUCCAUACAUUUCUCUGACCCAUUCCAUAUAAAUUCUCGUCGAAACUAUCGUAAAAUUCUUCCUCUCCGUGCACGUGAAGGAAAAAAGCUCGUUCCUUCACGUUCCCAAUACUUUAAAUCGAACAUUCACAAAUACUGUGUCGUACAACGUAUAAUAGCAAGAUUAAAAAAUUGAUUAUGAUCGUGUAUUUUAUCUAUCAAAGUGUAAAAAUCGAAUUUUGAUAAACCAUAUCCUCUUUAAAUAUCAUAAGGAAUACCACAUCUUGGAUAUUACAUUCAAAUAAACAUUCUCAAUUUAAUUAUAGUAAUUUUUACCAACUAAACACUUUUUUUGAUUUGAAGGAAUCUAAAUAAACUCGAUCGAGCUACGUUGUCCCCCAAACGUUCACAGUUAAUAAUAAUUUAACAAAUAACCGUAGAAUAAAAUCUAUAUAAAGUUAGGGUUCGAAAUCCUCUUUUCUUUUUCCUCGUAUGAUUAUUCUCCCCCUAUUUAUUAAUAUUCUUUUCCUCACCAUCCCUUAACUCGCUUCCUGGUUACAUACCUGUAUCAAAUCCCAGGUGGAGUAAUCGGGGUAAUCUCGUAAGCGAGAAGUGAGCGCUGUGUUAAUCCGAUUGCGGAGCGUUCCAAAUAAAAGGGCGGCCCGUUCCGACCGCGAUAUUAAUAAAUCGUUGUCCUGCGGGAGAAUGGUCGAAGUUAGAGUAAUUCUGGAUGCGGAGAGAGAUGCGAAUGGGCCUCCACCACGCGUGCAAACGUCACUGACCACGUGCUGCGCCCAUAAAACCACCCUUUCGUGUGCGAAAGGGCGCAGUUAUCGCACUUGCGUUGAUGAUCGCACACGCGGGACGCGUAAUCUCCAACUUUUUUCUUUCCAAUUGCGUCGAUCGAACGAUAGCAGAAAAUGGAGAAUUUCGAUUCAGAAGCAAUCGUGGUGAGGGAGAAAAAAAUUCUUUCGAAAUUUUGAAUGAUACGUAAAUAUCAAGCGGAAGAUAAUUGGUCGAUUGCAGUGAAUAUAAUUAGAAAAUCACGUGAUAUGAUACUUUAAAUUGAGUAAACAGCUCUUGGAAAUACGAUUCGUCGUGCGAUCCAUCGUUCUUUCGGCGUUAUUUUUCAUGUAGAGAAUCUGAUCGAUUAAUUAAUUAAAGUCGAAUACGAUAAACGGUUCUCUUUAUCGAAAAUUAAAGGAAUUAAGACGCUCGUUUGAAAUAAAAAGACCUCGAUGCACAGUUUUUACGUGGCUUUUGCGGCUUCAUUAAGAAUUGUUGAUAGGACGGGGGCUGGCAAGGGAUCGCCAGUAGAGGGUGAAUGAAUCUUUUGUUCCCUUCGCGUGAAUGAGGUUGCGCCGUGUUCUUUAACCCCUUUUAAUCGAUGCUCCUAGCUACCCUUUCAGAAUUAUAUUCUACUCUACGUGUGUAAAUGGGUUUGAAAAUAUUAUUAUAGCAAGUAAAACUACUUUUCAAAACUAUAUUUCAAAAGAUACGCUUCUAAUACAAUUUCCUAAGAUCACCAUUAUAUAAUUAUCUACAAUUCACCCCGAUUAUUUAAAUCUGCAAAAAUCUGGAAUUCCAAAUUUUUCUCUCCUUACGCAACAUCGUGUCCGACAAUCGAUCCCAACACUGGCCAAUUUCCUCCGCAAGAGAGCAAAAAGGAAGGGAUGGAAGAGGAGGAGUAGCUUUCGCGCCCUUCGAACCAGUUUCGUUCCUCCGCCGAACGAAAAAGAAUUUACGAGACGACGUGACCGAGCCGCAUGAGCGGAUGCGCGGACGGGGCUAAUCCGGAAAUCCGGAAUGCCCGCCGAUUUACGAAGAGCAACCGAUUUUUAUGGACCGUUGCCGGAUAUCCGGAGAGGAAUCCGCGCUCGAACUAACUCUUCAUCUCGUGAUCGGCCUCGCUUCUUUCCUCUUCCAUAAAUUUAAUCACACGUUUCUCCGUCGAUAGCCAGGUCUUAUACUCUGUUUUCCGAAUUGCGAAAAUUUAACAACGGCAAUUAAUAAUUGGAUAAUUCUUCGAGAAAAUUAUUCGUAGAAAAUUUCUGCAUGUUUCUCGUGGUGUUGAAAUUUAAAUCUCCAUGAAGGUAGCUUCUUCCAUUCACGAUUCUAAAAAUAUAUAUGAAAGGAUGGCGAAACGGAAGCUCCACCUCCAUCCUGCAUCUUGAAGGUUUCCGUUUAAUCCGCCAAAGUUCGCGCGGCUUACUAUUUACGUAUAUCGUGGCCCCUUGGAAUUAUGUUUCAACCCAGUUCCGCCCCUCCUCCGUAAUUGUGCUUGGUGGAAGAAAGGUUUACGAGACUCUGUCUCGAGACCAGGCUCGAAAAGAAUUUGAGGGCCGAGUCGCCAGUUUCAGAAUUUACGUGCUCGAACUAUGAGUAAAGUUUCUAACUUGUUCCUAGCUGGAACGAAUAAAUCCUAUCUCGAGUCUUUCUUCUUUCUUUCUUUCUUUCUUUCCUCGCUUGUUUGUUGGGUAUAAUCGGCAUGUUCGACAUGUUUAUCACUUUUGAUCGGAACAACGAGCUCGUAGAUGGAAAAUCGCGGAAUGGAAAUCUCUGUGAAGAGUGUCUUGAACUUCUUUGGUAUAUUUCCUCCCAUCGCGUGACGCUUUCCUUAUUCGAGCAUAAAUUUUCUAAUAUCUGGCUUUUAAUUAGCGGUCGGCCGGGGCAUCGUGCAGAUGUUAAUCACGGGGCCGCCGAUAUAAAAGCGCGGCCUUUAAAAACACGACACGUUUCGCCAUAAUCGGCCCUUACACGACAUUGUUCGACCGAUAAAAAAAAAUCAUGCGCGAGGCUCGACUCUUUUCCACUUCGCUAAUCACGAAAGUGCGAGCAUUCGAUCGUGGGGGCCGUCGAGUUGACACGAAAUUCACGUUUACCAGAUACGCGUUCGUUGUUUCAAUUUGUUCUUCUUCCGUUUCGGGGAUUAUUGAGUUAAAAUUCGGAGAAAUAUUGGGGAUAUUUAUCAUUUUUCCUGAAUUCUUCUGAUACAAUAUUUAAAGUGGAUCUCUCUAAUUUUUAACUUUCGAUUCUAUUUUAUCCAGUUUCGGCCUCUUUUUUGCUAUUUGUUUGUUGAAAGCUUGGGUUACAAUCGUUGUAAACUAAUGUGACAAUGCAAGUAAAUUACCGCUCGAACGCAGUCCAGUUAAAACGAAUUCUCGCCAAUUAUCCUCCGAAAGUCCGUUUCAGCCCGUUUAAACGUCUAUCCCAUCUAAUUCGAGCAAUUCAUUCAUCGCGUGACAAACGGCCGUCCAAAUAUGACGGCACGUAUCAAUUAACAAUCGAAUCAAACUUAGUUAAACGUGAUCGAUCGAUGCUUUCAGUCGGAUGUUCCAUUAUUUUCCUUUUUCUCCUCGAUCAUUGUGUCCAAAUAAUUAGGAAUACACGAAAUAACGAUGUAAAAGGAGAAUAAAAAGGAAAAAAGAAUCUUUAACCGUGCGGAAAUGAUUGAAUUAAACAAUAAUUCGUGGUAAGAGAAAGAAAGAAAGAAAGAAAAACAUAGAAAAAGAUCAGUGGAGAAAAUUUCCUCGUCCUUGGACAAUGCAAGAGCAAUAAGAGAAUUAAAACUAGAAACCGUGAACACGCCAAGAAAGGAAAUCCGAUUCUUAUCAUCGCGUGAAAUGCAGCCACGUCUUAAUGGCCACUUAACCGGAAGUUGGCUGGAUUCGGUCAACUUCGAGACCGCGGGAAAAUUUGUGGAAAACCACGCGACAAGCGUGUUUGUACCGCGAAUGUUGUUGGCACAAUUUCUUCCGCAACUUUGUGCAUUCGAUGACAUCACUUUACCAGCGAGGAUUAAAAAUUACUCUUCGUAAUUUUAUUUUCGAAAGAAGAUGUAAGAAAUAAAUAAAACUUAUAUUUUUUCCUUUUUUUAGAAACAAUGUAAUUUCGAACAAGAUUCUAUCACUGAGAAAUUUUAUUUUUUCGAACAAAAUUCUACCACACGAAUUUCUCGAAACAUCUACGUCAGAGACAUCCUGCUGGAAGUUAGCCGCGACGAUAGAGAGAAAUAGAGGGGGAGGACUUGUACGAGAUACAAAUUUUUCGUGGCAACGAGAAUAUCGGGUACGAAUGGAAAGUUUUCGUCGCCCCCUCUUUAUCUUCAUCCCUGUCCUCCUCCCGGUGGCGCAUGCAUUCUUUCGUUUGUUAAAUCCCUUUCGCAGACGGGGCUGGUGGCGUCUGCAUCUGCAGGAAACGAUGUCAACGAUACUCGUCUUAAUGCCUGUUGAACCGGAAGUGCAAGGAUAAGAGCCCGAAGGCCACUCGAGUCCAAGUCGAGCAAGCGUAAUGAAAACGCGCAGAAAACAAGGGCUCGUCUGGUAAUUCGUGUAUUUUUCCUUCCUUCUUUUCUCUUCUCUUUUUCUUAAUACUGCUCUCCUUGUAAAUUCUCAUCUUUGUUUUUUUUUUUUCCCGAUAUUUUUUUCUCUCGUUCGUCGAUUUCAAUCAGCGUUUCUUUCGAUGAAGCAAAUUAGGAACGAAGCUACUUUGAUAAAGCAAAGGAGAAGUGGGAAACGACGGUGAGAGGUAUUAAGAAAAGUUCUUUUUUUUAGCCACUCGUAUUUCCAAGCGCGCCAAUUUUUCGAGGAAAGGAAUCCUAGCAUCGCGAUACUUAUUAACGAUCGAAAGAGUAAUAAUUGGUUCAACGAGCGCGGAAGUGAAUUGAUUUGUAACGCUAGUCCAAAUUUGAAAUCGUUUAAAUGAUUUCGUUCGUUCAUUUACGAAUGUCGAUAAUUCGAUCGUCUACCCUUUAAUAACAACAACCCGUCAAAUUUAACUCCCGUGACUCGAAAAUUCGAAACGCGAAAUUUCGUAAAUCAAUCACGAUCGCUGACACGGUGCCCUGCAAUAUUUACAUUCGACAAUUCAAAACGAAAUUUCAACAAUAUUUUUCACAAGGAAAAUAACGAAAUAACCAAAAACACGAGAUAUUUCACAUCCAACCGAUAUGUAAAAACUAUACGUUCGAGCACCAUUCUCUCUCUCUCUCAAAAAAAAGGAUCAUAAAAUUUGAAAAAAAAUAUUAUAAAUCACAACUCUCUCCGCUGAAUCCAAUAAUACUUAAAGUUCAUCUUUCCACUCCCGAUUCCCAAUUAUCUUCCCCCGUUCAAUCGUGAAAAAUAAUUAAGGAGCGUCGUUCCAUCGAACGUCGAGCCGAAUCUCGAAUGGUGAAGGGGCGUUGAAGCGUGUCGAAUUGUUGGACCGUGUCUCGCGCGUGUCGAUCCCUCUGCUGGAACACCGAAUUCCAAUUCGGACUUAUACUUGCGGAUGAUGUCGCCGAAUCCUCGAGAUCAGAGUAAGCGGAUUUGCGGUAGACGAUUGCGUGGCCCGCGCAGCAGGUCAGGAAUACGGUGCAUAUGGAGAGCAGCACGAUCACCUGGAAUGCGAUGGAUUGAUUUAUCGGUCGCGUUUCUUGCUCCACUGAGCGCACACCAGCUUAUAUCGCGUUUAAUCCGCGAAUCGUUAAUGGAGCGAUUGGCUAUCAACGCGAAUUUACAACGCGGUGUAUAAUAAUUUUACUUUGAAUUCGUGAGAGAUGAAGAAGGAACAAUGGACGGAAGAAUUUAGACAAUUUUCAAUCUUUGCUUGAAUAGUUAAUUACUUGGAUAGUAAUUUUGAAAUUGAAAUCGUUUAAGGAGAAAGGAAAUGUGAUGUUUGAUUAUUGUUAUUUCUCGAGGGAUAAAAAUCUUACUUUGCAAGUUUCUUUUUUCUUUUUUUCUUUUUUUGGUUGUUGAUUUUCUUCAAUUCAAUCCUCCCUCAAAGAAUCUUUGGAGGGUCAUUUGGAGAGUUUUUCGUACGAAGAGAUAUUGUUAAACAAUUUGAUAGAUACGCUGGCGUAUAAUUUAAAAUGAAAAUCGCGUUUGAAAAAUUGUAUUGAAAGUUGGCUGUGGAAAAAUUUUCCCCACCUUAUAAUUUAUAAUUUAAAAUUGUUCGAAACGAGUGAGUGUUGAAGUUUUUGACAGUUAUUGUACACUUUUCACGUAAUAAGAAAUUUAUAAUUCUGGUGUCGCGUGUCUUAUUCUUCCUGGCAUCUAAAUUCGAGUAUGUGAGAAACGACACUUAGAUAGAGCCUAUAAAACUGGUUAGAACACCUGGCGUGAUUCGCAGGUGUCGGAACAUCUCCCUCUUCCACUAAGAUUACGUUUCACGUAGACGAGCACACCCGUCUAUGAAUUCUGUACAAGAUUAUCACUGCUGCGAUCCAUUAUAUUCCACAAUUAAGAUAGGAUUUUAGAAAUUUCGAUAUAAAAAUUUAUACAUUCAGAGAACGAGGGUCUCAACGGUCAAAAUAUCGAUAUUUAACCUCAAAGUUGUUAAAUAAAUAAAAUCAUAUUUCUUAAACGACGCGAUAAGAAAUAAAUUACUUAAAAAACUAAUUACUUAAAAAUAAAGUUAAAAAAAUUCCCGAUGAAAAUUAAAAUUCUAAACCACCAAUGCCUGGAAUAAUAAUAAGAGAAUGUUAAAAAAGGGAAAAAAAGGAAAGAAAUUCAUCGAUGUUUGUUAAUCGAUAAGUUUCAGGUGAAAAAGUGCCAUUUUCACCUACGAUAUUCUUUCACGGCUAACAUUGAAAUACCAUCCGUAAAAGCAAGCUUGACAAAAAAAAAAAAAAAAAAAGAAAAA